UACAGAGGUCCCAAGCGUUGUUCGGAUUCACUGGGCGUAAAGGGUGCGUAGGCGGUCGGGGUAAGUCUGAUGUGAAAUCUCACAGCUUAACUGUGAAACUGCAUUGGAUACUAUCCGGCUCGAGGAAUGGAGGGGAGACUGGAAUACUUGGUGUAGCAGUGAAAUGCGUAGAUAUCAAGUGGAACACCAGUGGCGAAGGCGAGUCUCUGGACAUUAACUGACGCUGAGGAGCGAAAGCAUGGGGAGCGAACAGG
rnacentral:rRNA from 1 species